GUGUUACUGACGCUAAAGCUCGAAAGUGCGGGUAUCGAACAGGAUUAGAUACCCUGGUAGUCCGCACGGUAAACGAUGGAUGCCCGCUGUUUGCCCUUCGGGGUGAGUGGCUAAGCGAAAGCGUUAAGCAUCCCACCUGGGGAGUACGCCGGCAACGGUGAAACUCAAAGGAAUUGACGGGGGCCCGCACAAGCGGAGGAACAUGUGGUUUAAUUCGAUGAUACGCGAGGAACCUUACCCGGGCUUGAAUUGCAGAUGACGGAUCUAGAGAUAGAGACUUCCUUCGGGACAUCUGUGAAGGUGCUGCAUGGUUGUCGUCAGCUCGUGCCGUGAGGUGUCGGCUUAAGUGCCAUAACGAGCGCAACCCUUCUCUUCAGUUGCCAUCAGGUAGAGCUGGGCACUCUGGAGACACUGCCACCGUAAGGUGUGAGGAAGGUGGGGAUGACGUCAAAUCAGCACGGCCCUUACGUCCGGGGCUACACACGUGUUACAAUGGCCGGUACAGAAAGUCGGAUGCCCGUAAGGUCAUUCUAAUCAAGAAAGCCGGUCCCAGUUCGGACUGAGGUCUGCAACCCGACCUCACGAAGCUGGAUUCGCUAGU
rnacentral:rRNA from 1 species